GGACCUGAGAUUGGCCGACAGCCACGUGAGUGAGCCUGGAAGGUGACCCUCCCUCAGCUGAACUUUGAUUGCAGCCUGUGAGACCUUGAGUCAGAGGACCACUAAGCUAUGCCGGGAUUCCUAACCCACAGAAAUAGUCUUCCGUAUCUGUGAAUCAGCAACGUGGACAGCGGGGAGCUUCAGAAAAGUUAAGGAAGGCUUGAAGUGAGCAAAGCAGAGCAGAGUGUGGGCAGGAGCCAAGGGCUGCCACAGUGGGAAAAUCAUGCAGUGCAUCAUCUAAGGCAGCUCCCGGCCACGUCUGCCUCUGUGGACACUGUGACUGGGGCCGAGGGAACAUUUGUUUGCCAGGCCCUUUGGAAAGUGCCGGCUCUCUCUGCCCUCCUGUUUUUGAAUCUCCGCACCACCAUCCCCAGCAGGCCCUUGGUGUGUCCAUGGCGGCCUCUGCGGUCAGCCACCGUCUGGGCAGCCAGAGCGACCUCCAGCCUUCCUGGCCUUUCUCUGAGGGCAGGGGCCUCCCUUCUCUCCCUGACAAAGCACUUUCAGUCAACUCUUGGAUUUCUU